GAUGAACGCUGGCGGUAUGCUUAACACAUGCAAGUCGAACGGACUCUUCGGAGUUAGUGGCGGACGGGUGAGUAACGCGUGAGAAUCUGGCUUUGGGUUCGGGACAACCACUGGAAACGGUGGCUAAUACCGGAUGUGCCGAGAGGUAAAAGAGAAAUUGCCUGAAGAUGAGCUCGCGUCUGAUUAGCUAGUUGGUGAGGUAAAGGCUCACCAAGGCAGCGAUCAGUAGCUGGUCUGAGAGGAUGACCAGCCACACUGGGACUGAGACACGGCCCAGACUCCUACGGGAGGCGGCAGUGGGGAAUUUUCCGCAAUGGGCGAAAGCCUGACGGAGCAAUACCGCGUGAGGGAAGAAGGCUCUUGGGGUGUAAACCUCUUUUCUUAGGGAAGAACAAAAUGACGGUACCUAAGGAAUCAGCAUCGGCUAACUCCGUG
rnacentral:rRNA from 1 species